rnacentral:rRNA from 1 species
AGAGUUUGAUCCUGGCUCAGGACUAACGCUGGCGGCGUGCCUUACACAUGCAAGUCGAACGGAGAAUCAGAGCUUGCUCUGGUUUUUAGUGGCGAACGGGUGAGUAACACGUAGACAAUCUGCCCCCUGGUCUGGGAUAACAGUUCGAAAGGACUGCUAAUACCGGAUACGAGCAUUCCCUCCUGGGGGGAUGCUGAAAGGCGCCUCAAAGCGCCGCUGGGGGAUGGGUCUGCGGUCUAUCAGCUAGUUGGUGGGGUAACGGCCUACCAAGGCUUUGACGGAUAGCUGGUCUGAGAGGAUGAUCAGCCACACUUGGACUGAGAUACGGCCAAGACUCCUACGGGAGGCAGCAGUGAGGAAUCUUCCGCAAUGGACGAAAGUCUGACGGAGCAACGCCGCGUGAGGGAGUGAAGGUCUUCGGACUGUAAACCUCUGUCGGGAGGAAAGAAACCUUACAGGAGGAAAUGCCUGUAAGCUGACGGUACCUCCAAAGGAAGCCACGGCUAACUACGUGCCAGCAGCCGCGGUAAUACGUAGGUGGCAAGCGUUGUCCGGAUUUACUGGGCGUAAAGAGGAUGUAGGCGGUUUGUUAAGUCGUUUGUGAAAGCCUGGGGCUUAACCCCAGAACUGCAAGCGAUACUGACUGGCUAGAGAGCAGGAGAGGGAAGGGGAAUUCCCGGUGUAGCGGUGAAAUGCACAGAUAUCGGGAGGAACACCAGUGGCGAAAGCGCCUUCCUGGACUGUUUCUGACGCUGGAGUCCGAAAGCUGGGGGAGCAAACGGGAUUAGAUACCCCGGUAGUCCCAGCUGUAAACGAUGAACACUAGGUUUUGGGGGCAUCAACCCCCUCGGAGCCGAAGCUAACGCAUUAAGUGUUCCGCCUGGGAAGUACGGUCGCAAGAUUAAAACUCAAAGGAAUUGACGGGGGCCCGCACAAGCGGUGGAGCAUGUGGUUUAAUUCGAAGCAACGCGCAAAACCUUACCUGGGCUUGACAUCUUGGCGACCGCUGUAGAAAUACAGUUUUCCCUUCGGGGACGCCAGGACAGGUGCUGCAUGGCUGUCGUCAGCUCGUGCCGUGAGGUGUUGGUUUAAGUACCGCAACGAGCGCAACCCCAUUGCCUGUUGCCAGCAUUCAGUUGGGAACUCAGGCGAAACUGCCCCGUCAAAAGGGAGGAAGGUGGGGAUGACGUCAAGUCCUCAUGGCCCUUAUGUCCAGGGCUACACACGUGCUACAAUGGCCGGUACAACGGGUUGCCACACCGUAAGGUGGAGCUAAUCCCUUAAAACCGGUCUCAGUUCGGAUUGCAGUCUGCAACUCGACUGCAUGAAGUUGGAACCGCUAGUAAACGCAGAUCAGCAUGCUGCGUUGAAUACGUUCCCGGGCCUUGUACACACCGCCCGUCACACCAUGGGAGUCGGCAAGCUCCCGAAGCCGCUGGGCUAACCCGCAAGGGAGGCAAGCGUCUAAGGAGCGGCUGAUGACUGGGGUGAAGUCGUAACAAGGUA